UGAAACAACCGUGCCCCCAAGGUGCUGAGGUAAAAGAAACCCAUCCAGUAACUUCUUGGGCAUAAAUGAGGCGCUGGGAACUGAGCGGAAUUCUAUCCAAGUGAUGCACCAGGUUGUCCGUUAUUAUCUUGUAGGAUGAUGCAAGGGGGAAGGAACGUGGAUAAUAUUUUUUCCUCAAAGUUGGGCAAGGACCACGUGAAGUAAAUCAGUUCACUGUAGUUUACGCCCAGGUCAGCAUUUUACAGGUCACUCGCAGCGCCCGUUCUGCCGCGGCACCUGCCGGUCGUGCUGUUGGUGCCCACGUGAAGCUGCCCGCUGGCAGGGCAGGUCAUGGUGCCGCUCGGUGUCUUCUCUUUCCUCUCAGCUCCACAAAUGUUACGGCAGAACAGCCUGUAACUGGAUCGACAAUCCAAUACUGAUUUUUCAGACAUGUUUCAGAUGUUCUUUCCCCCUCUCUCCUCAAGUACUUUUUCACUUCUUUUAAAGAGAGUUUGUCGUCCCUCUCACCAGCCAGCAAACAGAUGCCUCUGGUGUUUGUAAAUGGAAUAUCAGAAGUAAUGUAAAAAGCAGGAUCUAUAUUCAAAACACCUUGUAGGGUUUACUGAAAGCCCAUUUAUUUCUGGUCAAAAGAAUUCAAUAAAAAGAAACUGGGCUCAGUUACUGCGAUUUCCACUGUAACAUUUAGAAUUUAGGAGUAAGCGCUUGGUCCAAGCUUAAGUUAUAAAUAUUAUUACAAGAGUAAUCUGUCUGAAAAUGUUUGGCUUUCGUUUCUGCAAUGCAAGUAUGUGGCGUGCCUGGUACUAUUGCUUGACAGUCGAUGUCCAUUUAAAAUUCCUGUUACGGAUUAUUUAAUGACUGUAAGCAGUGAGUAAGCUCUCUUGCUCAGUACCAACUUUACGGAGCUGUAAGCAUGCCCUGUAAACAAACAGCAGGCCGAUUGACCAGCCUGUGCUUGGACUCGCCAGUUCGAGUCUGUCCCGACUUACCUGCACAGCUGGGAAGUUCUUUAGGAAGUAAAUAACGGCCUUUGGUGUCGGAGCUUCAGCGCUGCGCUGGCAGCCAGGCUCGUUAGCGCUGCUGCAGGCGGGCGGGUUUCGAGGUGCUGAGCCCAUUGAGCCCCGUUAAGGGUUAGGGGGGCGAGGGUGUCCCACGCGUGUGCCAGGGGGCGGCGGGGGCAGCCUGCGGAGGAUGGGACGGGGAUGGGUUAGGUGGGGACACAGCACUGUGCUGCGUGCAGCAGCCGCUGCCAUCGCUCGCUCGUGUCUAUCGCGGCGCCCUGGCUCGGGGCUGGCGGUUCUCUUGCCUGGGCCAGAGCAGCGCGGAUUGGUUUUUGAGCCCAGGAACAGGCCCUGUCGCUCGCUCCUGAAGUUGUCUCGUGUGGAUGUGUUUGGCUGCUCUACGAAGCUUUAAGUGCAGUAGGUGUGGGCAGAGUCCUAGCAUUGUAAUUUGAAAGUACAUCGCGUAGUAGGGGCUGCAAAUUUCGCUGUAUUGCGAGUCAAACCAACUAUUACAUCCAAUUCUGUAAAGCAGACCCCCGCGUGAGGUAGUAGAUGCUUAAAUGAAAGUGGCUUAUGACAGGCAGUACAAAUACGUAUGUAAAGGACAGAGGCUUAUGUGGUUAAUGCAUUUAUUUAUUGAUAAUAGUAUUUAACUGUAAUAAGCAGUAACAAGGAAAAAGUGAAUGUGAGUGGAAGUGGAUGGGAUGGGGAGUGAAUGGGUAGUAGCUGAAGGUGCUGCGAACCAUGGCAAUUACCUGCUGUCUAGAUAUGGAGAGGCUAUAAAAAUUAGCGUUGUGUCAGUAGGCCAUGCUUUUUAAAAAAUGCGACAAGUAACCUUUUCCGUAAAAUACAUUUCUUCCCUUUGUUCUAACUGCUCCUUUUCUUCUCCUCCACCCCUUUUUCUUACUUUCCAGUGUUGGCUGUGGUACUUUCUGAAGUGCAGCUCGCCAGCAGCAAGUUUAAACGUCGACAGCAGUCGACAGCAGGUACGGGGCUCAGCGUGGACAAUGCCAGCCACUCCUCUGCGGAAGGCUCUUGAGCUCUGUCUGCCGCGGGGGCAGCGGGCAGGGGCAGCAGGCAGGGGCAGCAGGCAGGGGUAGCCUGUCUCGCCCAUGGUCUGCGGUGCCCUGACUUGGCCAAAGCACGAUGUGUUCAAACCACUAUGGUGCUGAUACUGUUAGUAGUUGGUACGUGCUGAUGUUGUAGAGCAAUCCGAUAGCCUUGGUCGGUUAGAUUGGCAGCACGUUUUUCCAGGGUUGUGACAGUAAUUUUGCUACAGGUUGCCUGCGGAGAGUUUCUGUGAUCACGGAGAAAUACGCGGAGGCGCGUGGCGUGCGGGUGCCCGGGCGGCGGUACAGGUACAGCAGUGCCAUGGCAGCGGGCGUGCCGCAGACCGCCCGAGGUGAGCGCAGCCCGUUGCCGAAAUGCGCUCCCAUCAGUGCACCAAAAUGCGUGUUGUGCAGGGCUUGCAGGCAGCUGAACAAGGAUAAAUGUUCAUGGAAGCCUCGUUCUCUAAAAUAAAGAUUUCUCUUCAUCCUGACAGGUUUAAAGUUGGUGUAAGAACAAGCUGAGCUUCGUUAUGCUGUUUAAAAUCGUAUUGCUUUUCUCUUGUUACGUGAGAGCGGUGGAGAAGUAAGGGCAGCCGUAGGUCAGCCGCGAUGCUACCUGACUUCGUGGCCAUGGCCAGUGGCCCUGUACUAUGUUUAGAAGUACUCAGUAAGAGCUUGAGCCUUCAUCGCGAGGGCUGUAGCAGGAUCAGUGUGUCCUAGUCGUAUCUUGCUUUAAUUUCCUGUUGUGUUUUUUUCUGUAAAGGCUUGGAAUCGCGUGCGUGUGUGAGUGGAAUUUCUAUGCUGGUUUUGAUGUUGUUUAUAACACCAGAACGGUGAUAGCAGAAUCAUUUCAAAGAAUAGACGUUUUGAUAAGUUAUCUUCUGUUAUUUCCUUAAUUUUCUUGGAACGUGGUCUGAAGGUAUUUGUUGUGGAAUUAAGAAAAAAUAAAUUGAGCUUUCUGUUGAAGAAUAGUUGCAGGAAAUUUUAUGGAAAAUUAAAAUAUAUUGGGAAAUGUGGGAAUCCUUGGACUCUAGUGAAUGAUUUUCUUUCCCCCAUUCUCUUUCAUACGCAAAUAUGGUUUAGUAGGUGCAAAAAAAAAUGCACCUACUGGAGAACGUGGUAGUUUAGUUUCCUUGUCAUUUUGGAAUGGUGCUAUUCCAAAUUUCAAUCCUAAAUCUAUUCCUAGUUUUACAAUAAUAUAUUUUUUCCUUGUUCAGGCACCACCAGGCGGUGCUCUUAUAGUUUUCUUCAUUUUGCUAGCUAAAUGCAGUGGCAGAAUAGAGCGUUUGCUUAAUGGGAGCAGUAAGGCUGAGGAUGGUGUUGACCUGACAGUCAGGUAGUUACUUGGCUUUGUUCUCCAUCGUUUAUUUUUUUUUCUGAGAAGCUACUGACUUUCUCUUCCCUCUUGAAUGUGUUUAUAGCGUUUCUUUUUAUUUCAGUUAAUACAUUUUAUUACUUAAUAUAAAUGCUUGAAACCAUUGAAGAAUACUUGUCAAUGAAUAGACAAAACUCAUUUCAUAAACAUAGCAGCGUUUUUCAGGCAUGGGUAAUCUUUGUGCAGCAGUUGCUGGUCUGUGCUGGCACUUGUUGAUUUCCCCGGGUGCAACUUGCAAGGCCAGCAAGUUGCAGCUUAGGAAGGAGAGAGGCUGGCCUGUGGCCUAGCUCAGUGGACUCUUUCCCUGAAAACCAUUUAAUUUUUCUUUAAGUGUUUUGGUUGCUAGUUGAUAUGUUGAGGUUUACUAUGGUUGGAAGAAGUGCUGGGAAGGUUGUCCCGCAGGCCCUCCCGAGCCAUUCUCAUUUAGGUCCAGCACCGCUGACGGGCGCAGCUCCCAGCGCUGCUCUCGGAUCAGAGGCGGCCUCGGGGCUGCCCUGCACAGAGGGGCUGCCCUUCUCGCAGCGAGCCUUUUGGCUUCCCCGCCUUGGUUUGUUUCUAAAGGCCUGAGACAACCCAUCUGAAACUAUCUGAGAGCACUAAGCGAGAGUUUUCUCUCCCCAGAGGUCAUAUAGCAAGUAGAACAGAAGCUCUGUUAAAAGGGCUUUCUAAUAGGGCAAUAUAACUUUUCUUUGAUGUUUCUGUAAAUUCUUGUUGGCUUGUUCGCUUCACAUUUCUGAUUCGGAGGGAAAUUAUCUCACAGGUAGGUAUUUAGGGAAGAAUGGAGACAGUGUAGCAGCUAUUCCCAGGCUGCUUGCAAUCCAUCUCUCAUAAUUUCAUAAGUUCCUUGGCUAGCAGUUUUACAUAAGACAAGCAAGAGAAUUUUCUGAAUCUCAUAAUGCUUCUGAAUCCCCUAUGCUUUCCCCGAGUGCCUUUGAAAUCCUCUAGGCCAGACCUCCUUGAUGGUGAUUUGUAGCUAGUGGGUGUGUUGAUGAAGCAAAAUUAUCCUUUUUGUUAUUGUUCUGACUGACUGAGGGGGCAUGGAUCAAAUAGGUCAUGGGAAGACGUGUGAUACUGAUAAAAUUAAUAUGCAUAAUGUAGUACUGCACAAGGUUACGAAUGCGGACUGUGUAGAAUACUCUGCAUCCUUGGCAUGCAAGCGUGCCCUGACUUCAACAGCUACUGCAGCUGGCUUGAACCAUGACUAAUGCUUAGAAAGGUGCAUCUGCAAACUAGCUGCUAACUCAUCAUGUGCAUAUUAAAAAAUAAAAAAAAAAAAAAGUGAAAAUAGUCAAAACACUACAAGAAAAAUUGAGAUGCUGUUUCUUAACAAAAGUGAGGAGUCUUACAGUCAAUUAGCAUUUUUUGAGUCACGAUUCCUUUUCUAAUUACAAGGACAUAUCCAGAACAAACAAGAAUAUACACAGGCUGAAAGUGACAUCUUGGAAAAUGAAGGUCUAACAAUAGUUUUCUUAACCGCACGUCUCCUCUAAGUCAUCAUUCUGGAAGCUAAUCUCAUUAACAUGAGGUACAGUUAAAGGACAAUGGGGAGAGAAGUUCCCACAUAAUAAUUGCUGUUAAUUUAAGUCCUUGUGAAAACAGGGAGAACUCUGCUUUUCCUCAUCCCUUAUUCCUUCCACUGUUUGGAAUUGGCCUAAUGAAUUCACUUGUGACCGUCCACGACAUUUUCUAUAUUUUUCUGUGAUAGUGCCUAAUCUUUUUUGACAAGUAUAGUAAAUAUGGGAGUUGAAAGAUUCAGUUUUAAUUUAGGAGCUGAGUUUGGUUAAGGAUGCAAUUUCACAGCCAAGUAAGUGGCAGCCCACCAAUGUGCCUGAACUAUCACUCGUGUGACAGUGUCCUAAAUUGUUCGUCUUUUAUUUAGUGCUGCUUCAGAAGUGAAUAUUCAGAUUAUGAAUCGGAACAAAAGAAUGUGAAAUUAAGACCUGGAAAAAUUAUUUUCAGGUUUAAAUCUUAAUGCCAUUAUCGAUUGCCAUUGGUGAUCUGGCAGAGCAAGAAAGGCAUUUAUCUUCCCCAUUCAGCUCCAGAUCGCUUCUCGAAAAAUGCCUGAGUGCGUCUUCUGUGAAGUGCUUCUGUGUCAGUGGCUACCAUAGGCACAGCAAAAAUCCUGCUUGGGACCGGUCUUUAUGCAUGAUUAUCCUGAUAGAGAAGAGUCUGUAUUCCACCUUAGAGACCUGAGAAGACUGGAAUUGCAGCGAUGAUGGUGAUUUACGUUAUCACAAGGCUUCUGACUCUUUCAGAAUAGAGAAACACGUAUUAAGAUUUUCAGGUCAGUUCAUGGGAAAUCAUUUAAAACUCAAUAUGGCUUUGAAACUAAUAGGUUAGACAAGAGCCCUGCAGGUCUGUCUUUGGUGUUUCUUCAGAUGAAGUUGUGAAACUGAAAUUGCUGCUGUGUAGGAUAUAAAUUAAUUUGGUUUAUAACAAUUCAGGGCUUUAUUGUGUUUUUGUUGUUGUUGUUGUUUGUUUCUUUGUUUUUAGAAGAAAGAAAUACAAUUUCCUUGUAGAUCUUGCAAUAUUUAUAUAUUUACAAUGUCGUGGGUCUUUCUUAAAUCUUCAUUAAUAUACAUUAAAAAGGAAAAAAAAAAAAAAAAGAAAACCUUCCAUGUUCCAAAAAUAUCCCACAACCCUAAAGCAUCUUCCAGGCUUUUGGGUUGUACUGGCUAUAAGUUUGUUUUUCACUUGUGUUUUGACAUGUCCCUUCUGCUCCUGCAGUAAUUCAAAGAAUGGCUGCGCAAUUUUGGUCACAUAGAAAUCUUUACGUGGGAGAAAAGAAAAAACAGAGCAAUUUUCAAUACUUUACAUGAGUAAAAUGUGCAGAGGAAACUUCAGAAAUCUGUUGUCCUCUUGCCUUGUGCAAAGGGACAAGGAAAUUGCCAUUAAUGUAGUUGUGCUCUUUACCACUACUGUCAAAAUAUAUAAAGGAUUAUCUUCAGUUAGAGUUGCCACUAUGAAAAGAAACUGUAUUGUCUGUGAAAGAGGUAGCAGUAAAAGAGCUUUUGUCAGAUAGUGUUCCUGACAAAACAGACAGCACUGUUCGUUUUGUUUCUCUGCUCUUAGUUUUGGUUUAUUCAGCAGAGGAAGAAUUGGAUCAGUGUUUGCUUGGUCCAUUGUGAAACGGUGGUGUUGGCAAUUACGGUGCCGCACAAGUUUUACAUUUAAGUGAGACUUUCAUGUUAAGGUCUAUGAUUCUAAAGUCUAUUGCCACACAGGGCAGAUAGAUAACAAAUAUUGUUGUCUAAAAUAAUUUCUGGCAAGAGGAGUGGAAGGGAGAGUGGCAACUAAUAAGUACUCUGUGUUGUAAUGCAGCAUUCUGCAUUUUUAUAACGAAUGUUCUGCAUUAUGAUAAUGGACAGGGUACAAGCUGAAACUUGGAAGGACAGUAAAUAAGAUUUGCCUCUUGCAAAUAAAACCUUGGUGUACGUUCAUAGAUUCCUCACUCCUACCAAAUUUUGGGGGUGAACAUAAAAAGCAGUAUUUCAGAAAAUUAAAAGGCACUGUCAGCCUCAUGCAACAAAUGUGUCCGAGUCUGGAGGCUCAGUACACCAAGAGAUACAACUAUUUCCCUUGGUUGUAGCACAGAACACAGGAUUGUGCUUAUUUUGGAGCCAAUUCCUGCAUUUCAAAUAUUUGUUGCAGACUUGGGUUUGAAUACUCUGCUGAUUUUUCGUAUGCUGGCAAACAGCCAAACGUGGUGGCAGUGAAAAAUCGGGAUGGCUGCAAUAGGGGGGACUUACCUGGGAAGGUGAAGUAUUGAAAUAGUGAGGUGUGGCAGUUGCUCACGGUGAUUAUGCUUGAGCCUCGUUAGAGUAAUGAGGCAAGAGGAAUUAAUCGUUGUGUUUUUUUUGUUGUUUUGGUCCCCCCCGCCCCCAGGAGAGGAUGGCAGGGGGGACGAGAGGUACAAGGGAAAGCUUGUAGGGAGAUCUGAGAUGCUGUGGAUGAUUAGUGCUGGAAGCUAGGUAUCUAUCUAGAGAAUAUGACCAGAGGUUUUAUUAACCUACUUUCCUGUGGAGGUACAAAAAUGUUCUAGGAACUGUGCCAAAGCCUAGAGGCUUGUUGGACAUGGAGAAGAAGGUUUGACAUUUGGAUUUUCUUUGGUUGGCUGGUGGGAAUGGGAAUGGAGGUCAGUGAAUUGGGACAGCAACGUAGUAGGUCAUGUAGUUAUGGUAUAUGUUUGGAGG